rnacentral:tRNA from 1 species
GGAGAGAUGGCUCAGUGGGUAAGAGCACUGACUGCUGUUCUGAAGGUCCUGAGUUCAAAUCCCAGCAACCACA